rnacentral:rRNA from 1 species
AGACGGGGGGAGCAAGCGUUGUUCGGAUUUACUGGGCGUAAAGGGCGUCUAGGCGGAGUAGCAAGUCAGGUGUGAAAGCCCACGGCUCAACCGUGGAAUUGCACUUGAAACUGCUAUUCUUGAGUACGGAAGAGGAAAGCGGAAUUCCUGGUGUAGCGGUGAAAUGCGUAGAUAUCAGGAAGAACACCGGUGGCGAAGGCGGCUUUCUGGUCCGAUACUGACGCUGAAGCGCGAAAGUGUGGGGAGCAAACAGGAUUAGAUACCCUGGUAGUCCACACUGUAAACGAUGGAUACUAGGUGUCGGGGAUUCGACCUCUCCGGUGCCGCAGCUAACGCAUUAAGUAUCCCGCCUGGGGAGUACGAUCGCAAGGCUGAA